AACGAACGCUGGCGGCAGGCUUAACACAUGCAAGUCGAGCGCCCCGCCAGGGGAGCGUCGGACGGGCGAGUAACGCGUGGGAACGUACCCUUAUCUUCGGGAUAGCCUCGGUAAACUGGGAUUAAUACCGAAUGUGCCCUUUGGGGGAAAGAUUUAUCGGAUAAGGAUCGGCCCGCGUUGGAUUCGCUAGUUGGUGGGGUAAAGGCCUACCAAGGCGACGAUCCAUAGCUGGUCUGAGAGGAUGAUCAGCCACAUUGGGACUGAGACACGGCCGAAACUCCUACGGGAGGCAGCAGUGGGGAAUAUUGGACAACGGGCGGAAGCAUGAUCCAUCCAUGCCGCGUGAGUCAUGAAGGCGUUAGGGUUGGAAAGCUCUUUCAACGGAGAAGAUAAUGACGGUAUCCGGGGAAGAGGACCCGGCUAACUUCGUG
rnacentral:rRNA from 1 species